GACGAACGCUGGCGGCGUGCUUAACACAUGCAAGUGGAGCGACGAACCGGGCUUCGGCCCGGGGCAAAGCCGCGAACGGGUGAGUAACACGUGGGUAACCUGCCCCGUUGACCGGGACAACCCGAGGAAACUCGGGCUAAUACCGGAUGAGCUCGCUUCCCAUCAGGGAAUCGAGGAAAGGAAGCUUCGGCCUCCGCAUCGGGAUGGGCCCGCGGCCCAUUCGCUUGUUGGUGGGGUAACGGCCUACCAAGGCUGCGAUGGGUAGCUGGUCUGAGAGGACGAUCAGCCACACUGGGACUGAGACACGGCCCAGACGCCUACGGGAGGCAGCAGUGGGGAAUCUUGCGCAAUGCGCGAAAGCGUGACGCAGCAACGCCGCGUGAGGGAAGACGGCCUUCGGGUUGUAAACCUCUUUCAGGUGGACGAAGCCUGUCCGGUGAAUAGCCGGCUCAGGUGACGGUACCUUCAGAAGAAGCCCCGGCUAACUACGUGCCAGCCGCCGCAGUAAAAC
rnacentral:rRNA from 1 species